AAAGCUUGGAGACUCAUGGUUCUCACCCCCUUCUAUAGACUUACACAGUAAUUAUUAAAACUUCUGGAGGACGUUAGCUAGCUGGCUAUGGCUAUUCAACACUGGAACUCUUCCAAGUCAAGACCCAGACAGGAUAGGGAGCCUGAUGUUUAUGCAGUUGCCAUGGCAAGGGCCGUCCUUUGGAGAAGAGCAAGGGAGGUGUCGCACGAUCCACAUCAUCCUUUCAGGGAUAUCAGACAAGCUUGGGUGUCAACCACAGAAAUACCAUCCCUCCUCUCUGCAAUUUACUGGAUUGUAUUCCCUGCAAGACAACAUGAAUAUAAUGUAUGCCAAAGAAUAAGCUUUCUCAUACUGUACAGAGAGAUCCUUGGUGAAAACCUGCUCCAGAGCGGUUCACCUUCCAACAAGACAACGACCCUAAGCACACAGCCAAGACAAUGCAGGAGUGGCUUCAGGACAAGUCUCUGAACGUCCUUGAGUGGCGCAGCCAGAGCCCGGACUUGAACCCGAUCGAACAUCUCUGGAGAGACCUGAAAAUAGCUGUGCAGCAAUGCUCCCCAUCCAACCUGACAGAGCUUGAGAGGAUC
rnacentral:lncRNA from 1 species